UACGAGGGGCUACAGCGUUGUCGUGAAUCACUGGGCGUAAAGCGCACGUAGGCGGAUCUUUAAGUCAGGGGUGAAAUCCCAAGGCUCAACCUUGGAACUGCCUUUGAUACUGGGGAUCUCGAGUCCGGAAGAGGUUGGUGGAACUGCGAGUGUAGAGGUGAAAUUCGUAGAUAUUCGCAAGAACACCAGUGGCGAAGGCGGCUCACUGGCCC
rnacentral:rRNA from 1 species